UACGUAGGGUGCAAGCGUUGUCCGGAAUUAUUGGGCGUAAAGAGCUCGUAGGCGGUUUGUCGCGUCUGCUGUGAAAACUCGGGGCUUAACCCCGGGCCUGCAGUGGGUACGGGCAGACUAGAGUGCGGUAGGGGAGACUGGAAUUCCUGGUGUAGCGGUGAAAUGCGUAGAGAUCAGGAAGAACACCCGUGGCGCAAGCGGCCACCUGGCAGAGUUCUGACGCUGAGGCACGAAAGCGUGGAGAGCGAACCGG
rnacentral:rRNA from 1 species